CCUACGGGUGGCAGCAGUGAGGAAUAUUGGUCAAUGGGCGAGAGCCUGAACCAGCCAAGCCGCGUGAGGGAUGACUGUCCUAUGUGUUGUAAACUUCUUUUGUCUGGGAAUAAAGUCCAGGAUGUAUCCCGGUAUGUAUGUACCAUAUGAAUAAGGAUCGGCUAACUCCGUGCCAGCAGCCGCGGUAAUACGGAGGAUCCGAGCGUUAUCCGGAUUUAUUGGGUUUAAAGGGAGCGUAGGCGGGCGCUUAAGUCAGUUGUGAAAGUCUGGGGCUCAACCGUAAAAUGGCGGUUGAUACUGGCUGGCUGGAGUGCGGGAGAGGUAGGCGGAAUUCGUGGUGUAGCGGUGAAAUGCUUAGAUAUCGCGAAGAACUCCGAUUGCGAAGGCAGCUUACUGGAUUGUAACUGACGCUGAUGCUCGAAAGUGUGGGUAUCGAACAGGAUUAGAUACCCUAGUAGUC
rnacentral:rRNA from 1 species